rnacentral:rRNA from 1 species
UACAGAGGGUGCAAGCGUUAAUCGGAAUUACUGGGCGUAAAGCGCGCGUAGGUGGUUUGUUAAGUUGGAUGUGAAAUCCCCGGGCUCAACCUGGGAACUGCAUCCAAAACUGGCAAGCUAGAGUAUGGUAGAGGGUGGUGGAAUUUCCUGUGUAGCGGUGAAAUGCGUAGAUAUAGGAAGGAACACCAGUGGCGAAGGCGACCACCUGGACUGAUACUGACACUGAGGUGCGAAAGCGUGGGGAGCAACAGG